CAGUAGCCACGGGAAUACGAAGGGUGCAAGCGUUAAUCGGAAUUACUGGGCGUAAAGCGUGCGUAGGCGGUGAGUUAAGUCAGAUGUGAAAUCCCCGAGCUUAACUUGGGAACUGCAUUUGAAACUGGCAAGCUAGAGUCUUGUAGAGGGGGUAGAGUUCCAGGUGUAGCGGUGAAAUGCGUAGAGAUCUGGAGGAAUACCGGUGGCGAAGGCGGCCCCCUGGACAAAGACUGACGCUCAGGUGCGAAAGCGUGGGGAGCAAACAGGAUUAGAUACCCCAGUAGUCCCUGUCUCUUAUACC
rnacentral:rRNA from 1 species